AACAUUUUAACUGUAUUUUUGCUCUAAUAAAUACAGCCUUGGUGAGCAUAAGAAACUUCUUUCAUAAACCUUAACAUUUGGUCGUACUGACUCUAAACUGAGAGUGACUAUACUAGUGUUCACAGACUAACGGGGACAUGAACACGAGUCUGUUGCGCUGCUGAUUGUUGACCUCAUAUGUUGCAGGUUUCACCUGGUGUGUUUGAAUAUGUACCGAGUCCAGUAGAUGAAGAGGUGAAAGUGGGUGUGAUCAGAGAUACGCUGCGGCUCAUGGACCCCUCUCAGAGGACACAACACAUAAUGACAAGUACAGGGGGCGGUUCACCAGAAGAAGCUAUUGUUGUGGAGACAGGAAGUGAUGAGAAAGAAGGCUUGGCUGAUUCCCUUCCAUCUUUGUGUUUAAAGUAAGUCUUUCCAAAAUACACCAAGCAGUUCAAUUACUUGCAGGUCGUGGAACGCAUCGCUAUCAUUUUCCUGCUCUUCAUUGGUGUCAAGGGAACCAUGAGACUUGGUCUGACCAACUUCCGCACCUUCAUCAGGCAAGUCAUUAGUUCCUGUAGUUCAACUGAUAGAGCGUGGCGUCAGCCAAAGCCAAGAUCAUGCUCAAAUAAUGUACACCUGAAAGCAACAUCUGCAAAAUGAAGACAUUUAAAUGUGACAACCAUUUUGCUGCCUCAGAUUUCAUUUACAGACUGUAUAACAUUAUUGCUGGCUUUAAUGGGAUUCUGGCUACAUUCAUUAUGUACCGUGUUAAUUGAGCAUCUCCUUUAGGAACUGCAAGCUGAGUAACAGCAGCUUCUCGAUGGCUUCGGUGGACAUCCUGUACAUCGACAUCACGCGUCGUUGGGCCGGAAUGCUCCCUGACUCCAGAGAGGCAGGCAAGCGGCCCACCAAUCAUGAUGCAAUUUACAACACAUCUUCACUCCCGAGGCUGACACACAAUCAAAAAGCUGUUAAACAGUCUCCAAUAAAAGACACAUUUGCAACUAUUCAUCAUAGCGCAUUUGCCCUCGCACAGUCAUAAAUGAGAUCGUCAGGGGAGAUAAUUGACAAAUAAAUUCACUUCUUCAUUCAUUUGCCCAGUACUUGGAAAUCGCAAAAAAUAGAUGGCCAAUCAACUAAUGCCACAUAACCACAUUCUCAAGUUCUGCCUCGAUCUUUUAUAUUUAGAUUUUUUUUCUUUCACUUUGAAAAGAUACUUUGGUAAAUGGGAACAUUUGUGUGUGUGUCGGAGGAGCUAAUGUGCCCGCAAGUCAUUUCUGCUUUUAAAUGAGCACUGGUAAUAUUCUUUGUGAUGGUGCAUUAGGUUGGGUCAUGCUAGCAUCGUUUUCUUGGAGGAACGUAUGAAAUGAAUAAUGCAUGCCAGGCCUUGCUUCUCCUAAUCAAAAGAGAGAAUGAAUUAAUAUAUACUCGAGUCUCUGUGCUCCUAAAUGGCCAGAGUGGAAUGAUGUGAGCUGAAUUCUGGAACGUUUCGGAAGGUUGCACUGAAUUUGGUCAUUAGCGCCUUGCAGUAGGGAAUCAACACACACACACACAGAAGCCAGACUGUGUGGCGUGAGGAAAGUAAUAACUGCUGGAUAAGGUUGAUAUUUAUAAAUAAUAGAAGUGGCUAUUUAAAAGAAGUGGAUCGGACUUGUUUAUCCCUGAGGAGGAAGAGGAGCGAUAGCGCUGCCAUGAUCUUCAUUAAUAGUAAUACAUUUACUUUUGAGGAAUGCUGACUUGACACUCGGACUGAAUCUUAAUCCUCCUGUCCAUCCCAAAGUUCAGUCUACUUUAUUUGACAUCAUAAUGCUGAAUUGUUUUAGUGCUCCUCAUUAGUCUGUUUAAUGAAACCCAUUUUUUUUUCCUUCUGGAGUUGCUUAUUAAUUGUGGCCAUCCAUUCUCAAUGUACACAUAUUUCUGGCCAGCGCAGCAGGCCGCCUCAUUUUCUUUCGAGAUGCUUUUCACGGCUCCAUAUUGUCCACAGCAAGGGCUCAUUAACGCUCGGUAUAUGUAGCCAGACAAGUGAUCUGCGUCCACUUUCAGACUCCAACCCCCUGAGGCUCACAGGGACCCUUAAUAAAAGUACAAGUGCCUUCCCGUCGAAAUGUGCAGAGAGGAUUUCACCACGUUUAAAAUGUACAAAGUCUUUCUCUUUAGAAAGAAGCUGUCUGUAUUCCUCUCCCUCGGCUCACAGGCUCAGAAGUGACCUUGAGAAAUUGCUGAUGAUUUGAGCUUGCAGAUUAAGUUUUUAGCAGGAACAUAAAAAUACUGUAAUUAAGUUUUCAACAGUGUGGAGAUAUGACUGCACUAAAUAAUACACAGAUGAAGCCCUGUUAAUUAAUAAACAAGUAGAAAGGAAAUCUGCCAUAUGUACACUUCUGAUUAAAGCCGCUUACAGCUUGGAAAUAAUGUCAGGAAUAGCUUUUCAUCAAAUCUUUCAGCAAACUCUUUAUACAACAUGUUUGGUUUGUAUGGAACGACUAUUACUCAUACUGUAUGUUUAUAUGAAGUUAUGUGCCAAAGAUUAAUAAUUAGGUCCUUUCAAACUUUAUUUUAGGCACUAGAUGUAAAUUAAAUUUCAACAAUUUUAUUUUCUUUUUUUCUUUUGACCUCAUAAUUGUUAAUCAAAAUAUCAUAGCUCAAUCAUCCGGUGAAAUGACAGAUUUCAAUUCUUCUCGAACUAUUGUGUCUGCUUCAGCUCCUCCAUGCAAGCUCUCAUUCAUCUUAUCUUUGAGUGCAACACCCACAUCUCAAAAUCCAAUCAACAUCUGAUAAAUAAAUGGAAGUUCCUGCUCUGUUUUUGUUUUUGUUUUUGCUAAUCCAUUACACUUGAUUGUAUGUCAAAAUAUGAAUGAAAAAAUUUGUUGACACUUGCAUUUUAUCUCUGUGCAUGAAGAGUUUCUAUCUUGACUGGGGAAAUAAAAUCUGAUAACAGUGGCUUUAUAAAUUGUCCCGCUUUAAAACAAAACUUUUUUUAGACCAGUCCAGCUAAUGCUCAUUCAACUUUGACAGUAAACAAACACAAUUGUGUGUUUUAACUAAGAAAGCGAUUUGUUCUUUUUAAGCAUCAAGUAAAGCAAAGCUCUCUCUCUCUCUCUCUCUCUCUCUCUCUUUUUCACAAAUGUGUCUUCAGGCAUUUAUUGAGGCCUUCUUUUACUUGGCAGCACGCAGGUUCAAGGCUUUACCGCUGCGGGAGCAGGUGCUCUUGCUGCUGGAGGUUUGUGAGCGGGCCCUUGAGGGCCAGAGCCACAGCGAGAAGCCACGGCCACACCGAUCACACACAAAUCCCACCUCAUCUCAAUCAUCAGCACUAUGUUCAGCUCCCCUGCACUGACACGACGUCACAACGUCACUGCAGGGAGAAAUAUCACGGGAUUCAGUGUUUCUUAAAGGGACGAGAUGUUUAUCAUAACACCACUUCAGGAAAGGAGCUAAUUCUCUCAAAUGGCCACCUUACACUGACUAGGCAGAACAACACUGUGGCCUUUUGUUAGUAAAACUGUUAACACCAGGACAUGGCACCAAGUGCAUUCCAAGUUUACCAAGUUGUGUAUUAUUUAUACCUGCAGAUAUUUAUUAUUUACCGUUUCUCACUUAACCGAGUCAUUCAGUGUAGCUGUGAAUUGACCGAACUACUGCUGCAAGUAGAAAUUAUGACAGAAGGAGAAAAAAAGGGUUUGCUGUGGUUUAAUGCAAGUGGACAUCUCACAAGAAUAGCACAUAUUUACAGAUCAUUUAACCCUCACUUGAUAUCACAUUCCAGCUGCAGGCAUUGCAAUAUAUAAAAUAAGGCUUGAGACUGAGAUGUACUUUUUAUGGACAUGUUGAAUAAACAUUGCAAUUAAAAUAUUACAUUGUAUGUUUUUACUUUUUCAGUUAUAUAUGCACACACACACACACACACAAACACAAACACACAAACACACAUAACCAUUAAAAAGGUUGUUUUAAUGUCUCAAAUACUUGACCAAAAUGAGUAAAAACAGUAACAUUGUCAAAUAGUAUUACAAUUUGAAUGGUUUCCUAUUUUGAAAUAUUUUAAACUGUAAUUUUUUACAGUGACAGCAAAGCUGAAUUAAAAUCAUUCUAUUAUGUUGAUAUGGUGUUCAAUAAACAUUAUUAUUAACAAUGUUAAGUAUUGUGCUGCUUAUUUUUUAUAUUUCUAUGCAUAAAAUAAGAUUUGGGAUAGAACAUUUUGUGAUGAUCUUAACAGCACAAUUUUUGUAAUAGUUAUGGUUAUUUGUAAUGCCACCCAUAAGACAUUGUACAUUUGGUUCAGAAAUGAACCAUCAGUAGGUUGACCAUAUUUCCUAAAUCUUGACCUCUCACAUUACACUUGUCGAGUGAUUGAGGCAGUAAUGAAGACAACGAAACAGGCAUUUAAAAUAACUAAAUAAAACUUUAAUUAUUCUAGUUGCAAAUGUACAUAAAUUGCACAGCCACAAUUGUACGGUUCUUAACAUGGACAAGUUUUCUCUGUACAUUAUUGUUCUUGUCAUUGUCCUAAAACAAGGCAAGAGUCCAGCCAAUACUUUACUUUAAACAUACUUACAAAAUUAUUUUCUACAAGGGUUAUAAAACUUACAACAUAUUUUAGGCAUUCAUUUAUAUAUUUGUAUAUCUUUAUAUUAUUUAUUUCCCAUAGCUACUAUUUCACAUCGACUGCUUUGAGAAAAUAAAUGCCUAAUAGUCUGCAAAAGUUUCCUAAACUUUGAGAACUGAAAUGAAGCCAGAUAAAAACACAUCUGAUGAAAAUAACCGAGACGACAGCAAAAGUCUUUUUCAUUCAACACGGUUCUAAACUACUAUAUCUUUUCAGGUUUUUUUUUUCUUUUUACUCACUAGUAGCUUCUCAUGUGGAUGAAAAUAGACAUAAUGACUCUGCAAAACCUCAUUAAAAACAGAACAUGAACAAACAGAGAAGCUGACAUCCACGUCUGUAAGAGAAAUCUUGUGAAAAAUAAAUAUUUGCAACCUUAUGAGCCCCAAGCCGAGUUUAAAAGUUAAUCAAAUCAAAUUUGAAAUAAGUCUAGAUAUUAAUCUGCCUUAUGCAGACAGUGCUAAAGCAUUCAGUACAUGCAAAACUACUUUAGUAGAGCAUGUGAUUGGUUGCCAUAUACUGCUAAUCUCAUGAUUUUUAAUCUGCAUGUGCACCUUUGUUUAUAGUGUACGUAUGGCUACAGUGGCGCAAAUGAUAAUGCUACAAAAUAAAGCAUCCCUGGCUUAACAAUAAUAAUAAUGAGCACCUUGAGUUUGCUACAUGUUUGUAGAGUGAAGUAAACCCAAGUGGACAUGACAAAGGGGAAAAGUGCAUAGUUUUAAAAGCGUUUGAGAAGCUGGGGCAAGAGAUGUGAUGUGUGCUUAUUAGAUUGCUGCGUCUCAGUCUGAUCCAACAUAUCAGCCGUCAUUCACUUUGCAGUUCCUGUGAACCUUGCUUUGUCUAUAAUAUUAACUUAUUCUCAUAAUAAUCCAUCACAGAGCCCAUAUACAGAGAAGAUUCCCUUUAAAAAUAACAUCUCUUAUCUUACACAUCCCAUGUCUUAUAAUGUAUCUGUUUGCAUCAAAAUAAAGAUGUGCAAGCGUCUCACUUCCUCAAAGACCAAUGAAUUAAAGGAAAACAGCAGCUCCACGCACAUACAUUAUUAAAUACAAAAAUAUACAAACUCUAAACGCUGAAAUGUAAAGUAUGCAGCAAUCUGGACUGAUGAGGCAACACAUACAAAAAUAAACACAACACCUGUACAAAAAUGACUUAAAAAGGCUUUAAAAAUUAGAAUGGAGAAGAAAAACCCAUGAAGAAAACAUGCACAAAAAAGCAACUCUCUUAAACAAUGUAGGAAGAAAAAAUGAGCUACACAAGGCAGUUUUCAAAACGGCAAAAUAAAAAAUCAUUUCAGUCUGGUUUAGUGUCUAAAACAUUCUCUCUGCUCUGCCCGAGCAGUCUGUGCUAAUUCAAAAUCUUGGCAUCUCUGAAAAUAAAAAAUUAAAAAAAUCUAUGCACAUUAUAAUCUAUCAUAGAUAUUCAUCUGAACUGUAAAAAUAAAAUCAAAAUAAGGACUGAGGGGUAUUUUAGAUGCAACAUUUUAAGGCUUCUCAUGAUGGAGAGACAAAGUGCACUAUGUAGGGAGAAACAGAAACAGGAAGAGAGAUAUGGAGGAGAGCUCUUAUUUCUCCACAAAGAGUUGCUCGUUCUGUAGGUUCAGUCAUUCCAUAUUAAGUAGAGACCAUUAUAAAUUAAUGUGACAAAAUCUAGUUAUUUUACUUUUUUUUCAAAGGCUGUAUGGAGAACACAGAUUUU